CAUAAAAUGUAUCGCAUAAGAAUGAGACACAAAUUUAAUGUAUCAAAUGGAAAUGGUAUGAAUGAAAAUUACUCUGCAUGCAAAUGCGCAGUUACGUUAGAGAAGGAAAGUAGCCGUAGGUCUUAGGUACGUUUUAUUUGCGGUUGCGCAAAAACAAAACAGCUGUUAUUGAUUGUUACUUACAUCGAACGUAUAAAUGGAUUAAUUAAUACGUUCAUCAAUUUUGAGAAGGCAAGGGAUUUAUUGGGUUAUUUUCUGUCGGUCACACGUGACCUUUACAGUUUUUACGUACAUAUUCGGAUUUGCACCUGCUGCGCAAUAUUGUUUAAUAUAAAGCAAGAAAAAGGCCGAUGGAAAUCGAAAGAUGUGCAAGAGGCGCCGGGUCCCCUUAACAAUAAAUUGGAGGUGUACGCUGUCGCUAUAAAAAUAGUUACAGGUUCGUGGGAAUUAAUAAUGGAUAAAGAGUCCAGAGAUAAACCGUUAGUUAAUGGAACGAAGCUCAUGUUCUACGACUCUUGUAAGGAACAAGCACAUCGACAAGUUGAUGCUCCUUCGUAAUGGAAAUUGUGUCGAGUUCAAUCGUGAUAUAUCUACUAACACGAUAAGUUAAAUAUGUAAUCUCCAUUGAAUGAGAGAUUUGUAUAUUUACAAGAUGCUAAUACAUGUACCUGUGUAGAAACACGAGCAUGUGAGACAUUGUUAGACACGUAUCUCGUUCUGUUUGAUGGGUGCACCGUAGUAUGUAAACGAUGACGUCGCUAACAAAGUUACACAAAGAUUGUCAAAAAAAAUUUGUAUCCUGAUAAUUAAAUGAUUAUCCUA